AUUGAACGCUGGCGGCAUGCCUUACACAUGCAAGUCGAACGGCAGCACGGGAGCAAUCCUGGUGGCGAGUGGCGAACGGGUGAGUAAUGUAUCGGAACGUGCCCAGUCGUGGGGGAUAACGUAGCGAAAGCUACGCUAAUACCGCAUACGAUCUAUGGAUGAAAGCGGGGGAUCGCAAGACCUCGCGCGAUUGGAGCGGCCGAUAUCAGAUUAGGUAGUUGGUGGGGUAAAGGCUCACCAAGCCGACGAUCUGUAGCUGGUCUGAGAGGACGACCAGCCACACUGGGACUGAGACACGGCCCAGACUCCUACGGGAGGCAGCAGUGGGGAAUUUUGGACAAUGGGCGCAAGCCUGAUCCAGCAAUGCCGCGUGCAGGAUGAAGGCCUUCGGGUUGUAAACUGCUUUUGUACGGAACGAAACGGCGAGCUCUAAUACAGUUUGCUAAUGACGGUACCGUAAGAAUAAGCACCGGCUAACUACGUGCCAGCCGCCGCGGUAA
rnacentral:rRNA from 1 species